UUGGCGCAUCUAGGGAAUCACUCACCUUUCUGUUUCGUCUCCGUCUUGUUAUGACGUCAGUCACGUGACUGUCAUGGUUACGCGUCCCUGGCAUCAGCUGGGGUUUUUAGAGAUAAUUUCUUACUUUCUCAACAAAACUAAGUACCGUUCAAUCUUGAUAGGUACUUGGAAUUCAAUAAUGACACCCCAACACGCGAAAUCCUUUUUGUGUUUAUGAAAUCACUUUUCAUUUGAGCUCGAAACUACGCACACCUCUGUUGUUCUUUAGGAAUGUGCCAAGUUCGCUUGUUUGGGUGUUUCGCGCUUGUGUUAUUGAAUGGAAUCUUUAAGUGAUAUUGUAUCAAGGUGAUCAAAAGUUGUCAAAAUGUAUGAUAGAUUGUGCCUGUUAGUGUUUUUUGUUGGUAUUAUUCACUGUUCAUCAUCCCUUCAUUCCACUAAAUACACAGUGACAAAUGAAGCGUCAACUGUACCUUCCACCACUGAUCAUCCUAUCAAUAGAAAAUUAGAACAAUUUAAAAUGAUGGAAGAAUCUUCAUUGAAGGGCUGGUAUGACAUGGUGAACAAGUUUCUCUUAAUUAUAAAACCCAAUGAAAAAACAUUAGAUUAUGUUAUAGAUAUUGUUUCUGGAAAACAUACAUUAUCUCCACAAGAGACUGUUCUGAAGGUAAUUUUGAUUGUACCUAUUGUUUUUAU